AAGACUAUAGACCUGCGGAGUACCUGCGGAAGGAUCAUUACCGAGUCUCCGACUCCAAACCACUGUGAACCUACCUCUCUCGCGCUCCGCCGGGUCGGCCCCGGGGGGUCGGUAGCUGCAAGGCACCCGGCGGAGCCCCAGAAAAAUUCUCUCAGCGAGCUUCUGAGUCUGUCUCUAAAGAGUCACAACUUUCAACAAUGGAUCUCU
rnacentral:misc_RNA from 1 species